CUCGACCAGAAACGGAACGCGGCAGAACGGAACGUUGGCUAGGCGCGCGCUCGCUCGUCGCUCAGUUGGCAACGCAAGAAGCAGGGGGGGCAGCGACGGAGGAGAAAGAGGAGGAGGAUUGGCAGAGCCACGCGAAAUCCUAAAAGUAAAAUGAAUUAGAAAAUGUGAGCGCCGUACCGACGGUUACAUAAACGAAACAAUAUUCCUCUCGAAAAAUACACACACACAAAAAAGAAAGCAACUAAAAAAGAAAAUCGACAAAAAGCAAAAAGCAAAAAGCGCGUUCUGUGUGAGAGUGAAAUUAUCCUGGCUUUGCUUUGGUCGUUCCUCUGCCAGUGCCUGUGCCAGGGCCAGUGCCUGUGCCUGUGCUGAUUGUGCUGCUCACGUAUAUUAUGUAAAUGAUUAUGUGCCAGGAAAACGGAGCCAGCCAGGCAACAGCCGAAGACUCAGCAGUGGUCGGAGCUCCUCUUCGUCGUUCGAUGUGUGGCCCGAGCCCACAGCUAGAGCCAGUGCCAGUGCCAGUGCCUGUGCCGUGUCCACCUUUAGCUGCCACGUUUUCAACGUCCACUGGGCACAGACACUGGAGUUCUGUUUCUUUUUUUGCGCCGCCUUUUCCUUUUGACACAAAGUAACACUUUUUCAUCUUGCCACACACACACACGAGUGCUGCUAUCUCUCUCGCCACAAAGGCAGCACCUGCAGAGGGACAAAAGGCAGCUCCAAAUUGUUGCCAAGUUUUCCCAUCUUUGGCAGCGGCUCCUCUCCUAAGCGAAUAACUCACAGGCACCCGCCCCCACUUGUCGCCUUCCCAACUGCUGAAUAAGUUAUUUUAAAAUAAAAAUGUAUCUUGCACAACAACAUGGCAGCAAGGACACUGUGGCAGGAUGUAUGCUUGUUCCCCUGGUUUGUCCAGCCAUUGGGGCUAGUGUUCGAGCGCUUAAUACAAAUCAAAUUUAAGCAUUAAUUCGACUAAUUGGCGCUCGUAAAAGUUGUGUGUGGCCGGGGCAAGCUCCGGGGCCAGCGGCAAUGCCACUGCCAAUCGCUGUGUGGCCGUGUGGCUGGCUUCGAUGGCAAAUUGAAUGAAAAGCCUGACCCAGCGGUUGACUACGGUUUAUUUAAUUAAACUCCCGCUACGAAUGUGCACCAUUCGAAAUGGAAAUGGAAAUAUUAUCCCCAAGCCCCCCCAACUGCUCCCGAUGCAGCAGCAGCAGCAGCAGCAGCAGCAGCAGCAGCUGAAACUGAAUCGGCUUUUGGUCUUUGUGGUCACUCGUUUGCGGGUUUUAUGAAGUUUUCACGAAACUUUUGCCAGUGUCCACCUGUGCGCUGGCCUCAAAAGUUACGAAACUUUUGUGAGCUUUGGCUUUUAAUUUAUGUUUUUAGGGAAGUUUCUUAGGGUAGAGAAAAGGGCAGCUGUUUUGGCAAUAUUUAUAAUCAAUUUGGAGCUCACUUUAUCUGUUUCUAGCUGCCAUAAUCUAGGGCCAAGAAAUGGCCAGGGACUUCCUGCCUUCAUGAUUUAUGAGCUGUAUAAAUGCACGUUGAAAAGUUAACUAUUUCCACAGUCUGUCUCUUGCCUUUCCACUUUUUCACAUGCUUUUGCCAUUUCAAUUUUCAUAAUUUUCAUAAUUUUCGUAAUGGCAUUGCCUAAUUUUGUGGCAGCAACGAAGAGCAGACUAAACAAUUUUUGCAUUUUGCAAUUUUCCUCUGCUCUUCUGCGUUAAAAUGUAAAAUUAGAUUUCGCACGCGUCAAGUAAAGUGCACGAAACGCAGCAAUCAGCUGCCACUCAGGGAUGUCAUGCCGCAACCUACUUCUGCCAUAUAUAAAUCCACUAUAGACCCAAACUCAAACCCCUUUGCAGCUAGCACUUAAUUUGCUGCGUGCUUUCUGCUUUUGCGGUUUGUAGUGCAUCGAAUUUCGCUGAUUUGAGAUUUUGCAUGCAUCAGCAAUUAAAAGUUGGACAGCCGCCGAUUCAGCAGCAGGUAAUUGCAGCAGCAGCAGCCAGCAAGGGGAGUGCUGCUUCGGGUUUGUAAUUACAAAAGUCAUUAUGUCUCCUGCGUCACAGAUCGGGAAAGAGUAGCGAGUAGAGAGGCCCCCCCUUGUGCCUGAGCGGCAACUUAUGUCAGUGGGAAAAGUUUUGUGCUAAACUGUUUGAGUUUUCGCAGAGCCGCAAGCAAACUGUUUGCCAAAACUCUGCAUGACAGGCGCCUGCUGUCGAUGCUAGCCAGCUCUUUUCUACGUACUUUCCACCUCUUCCCGCUCACUCUCCCCUCUCUGUCUCUUGUAUAAUAUAUGACCCUGGGUUACUUCCUCCCAGUGGGGGGGGGGGGCUGCUCUCAACUUUCGGCUUCGUCUUCGCUUGAGCGUAAAGUCAAGCAGUCAAAGUGCAUUGCAAAAUGAAUUUAUGGGCACGAGUUCUGGCUGUGUAAUAUUUCAGUUUACUGCCUCUAAACUGGCGUGCAAAUGAAAAUAGUUUCGUCUUGACUGUCAGUUUGUGUUUGCUUCUUAUUGAAUUUGUUGCCCACACACCAAGGGUUCUGGGUCAAAACUAGCAAAAUGUUCAAAAUUUAUUAUGGCACAGAGCAAAGAACGCCACAACCCUGCCCCGAGGCACAACAAAAUCGAAGACACUUCAAGGGAAUGGGCAGGGGCAUGGCCAGGAGCAUUGCGAAUGUGUGUGACAGUUGGUGUGUCUUUUAUAGUUUUAUGUGUAGCAUAAUCAAUAACAAUUUGCAUUUAUAUACAAUGGAAGGGAAUGAAAUGAAUGGACGACGUCCCCUACAGGCAGCCAAGAACCCCAAAAAAGAAAGGGAAGCAACAAAAACAACGGCAGGAAACACACACAAAACAAAUAAAAACAAAAAUGCCAGAAGGCAGGACAGGGCAGAACAGGGCAGGACUGUGCAGGACUGUGCAGGACUGUGCAGGGGAGGCCACAGCUGAAGGGCUAGAAAAGUGUUUUAUGCCUGUCCUUUCCCCACUUGAAUUUCCAACAGCUCUUGGCUGUACCCCACACUUCAUUAACGUGGAUUGAGCAUGUAAUUUUGGAUUAGAAAAAAAGCGUUAAACAAUAAUAGAAAAUUGUAAUCCCCCCACUGCCACCCGCCGCUCCCACUGGUAUUCGAUAUGCUUUGUGCCCAUUUAUUGGGGACAGCGUUCUCUUGUUGGCUCUCGUACUUUUUCGGACAGCAAGCAAAAUGCCAAACAAAUACACAAUAAACAAAAGCUCUUGAACACACACACACACACACACACAUACACACAUGUCUAGUACCACUCCCACACACGGAGAUACAGCCAAAGGAACACAAACACAGCACAAACUUUUGCGACAACUAAAAACGGCAAAAAUAUUUUUGCUUGCCUUUGUUUCCACACAGCCAGAGAUUGGGGGAGUGGUAGAAAAUAAGGAAGAUAUAGAGAGGGAACGAAGUGGGAUAGGGACAGAGCGAGAGAGAGCGAGAGCGAUGUGGAACGUGCGGGGGCCACAAACAUGGCACACAUCCUGAAGGCAUGCUGCAAAGGCGGGCUGACGGGCUGACGAUAUGCCGGGCUUGGAGUGGCUUUUGUGCUGCUGCCAGAAGCGGAAAUGGGUAACAGCACCGCAUGUGUGUUUGUGUAUGGUGUGUGUGUGUUGCCGUCCUUGCUGAAGGCUGCCGCUCCUGCGCGUGCAAAAGUAUUUUAAAUUAGUAUGCAAGAUGAAUGACAGCCGCCAUUGCCAUCACUCAUGUUUCCCUGAUAAACUCUUUGCCCGUGUGCCCGUGUGUGUUCCUGCGUGUCUGUCCUUGCCUUGAUUUGAAUUUUUUAGCUUUUGCCAGGCGCCAAUGAAGGCGAGCAUUAGCGAAUGCCUAGGCAGAUCCUCCGCUGGCUGGUUGGCACGGAACCAAGGCAACCUCCUGCUGGAUGGCUUGAUGACAUUUUCCACGAACGACAACGACUUAGUCAGCUCUCCUCUCGCUCUCCUAGCCUUCUUGGCUCCCUCUCUAAUGCUGAACUUUGGCUUCAUCUCGGGCUUACUCAAUUUUGUGCGUCUGCCGCCGAGGUAUGCCUAUGAUAAUCACCCGAGAGUGUGCCUAAUGGAGGAGCCACCUGCCUGACAGCUGCUGCUGCUGUUUGCCAUUUUGGCUGCCAGCUGCAUUGACACCUCUCCAUCCAUUUGAUACUCUCUGUGCUCCUCCCAUUUGCUUCUCUCGUUGCUCCUUUUGUGUCGCCUGUCGCCGCAGCACGUGCCCAGGCGCUUGACACCCGAAUGGAGGAAGAUAAAAAAAAAAAGUAUUGUCCCAACAUAACCCACACACCACUAUCUACCAUGAUGCAUGCAUGUCUCUAUACUCUCUCGUUUGCCGUCUAUGCCAAUCAAGACAAGGACAACAACAGCAAGCAGUACAGGGAGCGUGGAACGGUGAGCGAGGAACGGGCAGAGAGCACAAGCAACGGUGAUCGGGCAAAGGGGAACGGGUUGAGGGAACGUGCAAAGGGGCACUGGCAAAAGUGAAAGCAACAAAAUCUUCAUCAUCAAGUGUCAUUCUGGGCUGUUCAGUUGACGCAGAUACAUACAGAUGGGACACAAAUGCUAACUACAUUUACUCAUACAUAUAUGUAUGUACAUAUGUAUGGAUGUGCACAUGCUCUAUUGAGGCAUCUGUCCAUGGGCAUCCCUCUCCUUCUGCCGCUCCCCUUUCAUUCUAACUAUUCCCAUGAAUAUUUAUGCUUUGUUGUCAGGGACCUCCUUCUCGGCAUGUUUUGGUUUGUUGUUUUCCCGUUUCGGCUGAGAGCGCAGUGCCGGAGUGGCGGAGAGGUGAAGGGAAUGUUGGAACCUUCAACCCGUCAACCCAUCGCCUGUUGUUUUCUUCGAGGAGCGUACGUCUGGCAAAUUCAAGUGUUUGGCAAGUUUGAAUUGCUUUUGCUGCUGCUGCUGCUGCUGCUGGCCAUAAAUGUUAUUUAAACAAAAUGCUCGAUUUUGGGCCAAACUUUGAUCAACUUAAUGCAGUUUCCGCGGUUGGCAGGUGGCAGAUUGAACAAAAGUUAGCAAACGAAUGCUGGCCAUGGCCAGCAUCAAAUAACGCACCGCAAAAAGCAGAUUCCUGAUCGAAUGCGAUUAAAUAUUAUACCACUGCCUCCUCCCCCACUGCGCUCUGGCACCCGGCAUUUUGCACUCAAUUUAAUGAUUGAUUCGAAUUGAAUUGCUUUCAAUUGUUUUUGCAAACUUAAUGCAAAUUACACAAUGCAAUAAAUGAGAGUGAAAUAUAUAGCCCCACAAAUUCUUGUCUCUGGCUAUUUGCUGCCUGGGGCCAGGGCAAAUAUUAUGCAACACUUUUGGCCCAAAUACUUAUCUGAGGGCUGCCGGAUGCCACUCCUUUGGCCAUUGACAACUCAUCAAAAAAAAAAAAAAGCACUGGCAAGGUCAUGAUGUGCCAAAUACCCCGAAGGGGCUCGAAAGAAAAUGUCUGAAAAAACUACGAGAACUUAUUUCUCAGUCGCUUUGUAGUUGUCUCUCCCUCGCUCUGCCUCGCUUCCUCUUUCUGUGUGUGUUUGUUCCUGGGCCACUUUUCACCAUUCCCCAACUUUGUCACACUUUCAGCAAUGCCUUCAAAUAUUUGCUGUCUUCUUCGGUUGCUUUUGUUGCCUGCCCGUCUCUCUCUUUUGCUUCUUCUUUUGCUUGGGAUUCUGCUGCUAGCUCUGCCUCUGCCGCUGAUUCUGCUGCUAGCUCUGCCUCUGGCUCUGCUUUUGCUUUUCCUGUUUAUUGAUUUUCGCUGCUGUCCCUCUCCCAUCCGCUGCCGCUGCUGUACUUUUCUCGCAUUAUUUAUUGUCCCACUUCUUGGGCUGGCGCUUAAACUACUUGGAUUCUUCGCUUGAUGAGUAUUUAUAAUUGCACUUAAUGUAUUACAACAGUCCAAGGAGAGUCCAAGUAGAGAAGGAGAGAGAGCGAGCGUCCUGUUGCGGGUCUCAAUACUAAUUAAGUUGGCCAGUUGCUGGGCCUCUGUGCCAGCCUUUCCCAACUGAAAUGACUCGUUGAGUGGCUGGUAGUCUGCCCUCUUUGGCCCUGAGUGGCACUUGCCGCCAUUCGUAAUGACGUCAUUGCGGUCAGUUCGCGGCUAGGGCUGGCAGGUGUGUCCAAUACCCCAUACACAUUUCCAUUAUCAAACACCCACAAAUGCUGGUCUGGAGAGAGUCUGUUGCAAUUAAAGCCCCAAACGCGCACAAAAAUACAACCAAAGACUGGCAAUAAUUCCCUUAACCGCGAGACUUUGGACAGUUUGAACCCUUUUUGAUGCGACAUGACCUGAAAAUUUAAUUAUAGAUAUGACAGGGCUAUCAAACAUUAAUGGAAUUCACUGCCUGCCCCAACCAACGAACCAACUUCUUUGCGUUUGCGCGGUAUUAUGGAAAUUGUGUUCCAUCUGCCAAUCAGUAAAUGCCAUUCAGUGAAUCAAAUCCGACCAACUAGUUUACGCGUCAUUAUCAUUUCCAUAUUUCGGACAGCUUUCAAAUAUUUGAAAUUGAGUCCAGAGCUCCCCCCACACCCAAAACAAUCGAAAACAAAAGCGAAAAUGCUGCAUGCUGAGCGCAGUUGUAAUGUAAACACAGAAACAGAUAGAGGGAGUGGGAAAGAGAGAUGGUGAGGGGGUGAAGGGAGAGAGUGAGCUGACCUCUAAUCGGCUCUAUUAUAAUUUGUUAUAUAAAUAACAUCAUUAUCGCCAUCAGCAUGAUUUCCCGGCCCCAAACUAGGCCCCUGCCAGUCAUCAUAGUUUGGGGCUGGCUGUGUGCCAGCCAAGCAUACAUAUUUACAUACAUUUGUACAUAAAUGUAUGUACAUAAAUGUAUGUACAUCAUUCUUUCACUGUAAUCAUUCACUAUGGUAUGUGUGUCCCCAUUUAUAUGCACAUAAUAUUUUUUUUUUGGCACAUUCUCGUUCGGGACUCAUCUCCCUUCCAUCUCCCUUUUGGCUUGUUGUGUGCAUAAAAUAUUUUUGUGUGGUAAUUUUUCAUACUCACAUUAGCGGCGGCGUCUGACAGCAGUGUGGGUGGGCAGGCGACCCACCAAAUGUUGCAACAUCAAGCUACAAGAACGCCCCACAACCCACAACCCACAGCUCUCAGUCAGCAUAAAUAAAUAAAAAACCAGAGCCAAGCCAGAGCCAAAGCCAAAGCCAAAGGCAUUCUCCUGCCAUUGAAGGAGUCCUGUGGCAGAGUCGACUCCCUGGCUUGUGCUUGUCGCUUAAUCGGUAUUGAUUUUCGUAUUGUUACUCCGAUGGCAAAUAUUUUAUUGUACGUUCUGCUGCUGGCUCCUGGCCACGUCUCCUUGCUAGACUGCCAGCUUUCUUUCAACCUUUUUGCGCUUUUGGCCAUGCUGAUGCGUUAAUUGAAAGCCAUACAAAUUGUGGUACGUACGUAAGGCUGGCAGGCAAUUAUAAAAUUGUUUGGUCAAAGUUGAUUGUACCGUGAAAUGGACUAGCCCUGGGUCUCCGCCCCUUUAAGCUAAGCCGUCGAUAAAGUCCAGACACACACGAACAUGUAUGCAUGUGUAUGUGUGUAUGUAUAUGUCGUUAGAGCAAAAGAAAACAGUAACUGCUCCUCUGUUAACGCUGUGUGAUGGAGAGAGAGAGAGAGGGAUCAAUUGCUUAUUUAUUGUGCUACAUUUUCUACAGGAUUUUGCUUUUAAUGCACAAACGUCGUCGUUGUCGUAGUCGUUGUUGCUGGUGCCAAGCUGGUUGGAUUGUUGUCGUUGUAAGGAAUAUGCUUUGGCACAAGGAUUGACAGGAGAGCACAGGCCCCUUGCCGAUUCCCCUUUAUCAUUCUGCACGCUCUCCCACUCACACACACAUGUGUGUUCCUGUGUGCCCGGGGGGAAAAUCUAUAAUUCAUUUGGUCAAUGGAUUCUCCUGCGUUGCUCCAUUUGCAGCUGCAGAGCUAUCCGCAUAUUAAUUUCACAACAGUCAACGUUAAAUUUCAUUAAAACUGGCAUUCGAUAACGCAAUUAUGGCGUGUUACGAGCACAUCCUAGGCCGACGCUCCUCUCUCCCCUUUCGGGGUUUCAUAAUGGCAUUAAAACUGAAUUCGUGUACGAUAUUAAUGGGAAUAUAUUUUCAAUGCGAAAUAAUUGACGCCUUGCAAAUGAUUUAUUUUGGAUUAAGGAGAGGUGAGAGACAUGCGUAUGGUCGGUUUAUCGAAUACCCAAUUGCAUAUGUAAAGCUGAUAUUUAAUUGAGUUAAAUUUAAAAUUGUCUGCCUCUUUGCGGUUCUUUUUUGUGUGUUUCCUUUUCGCUGCGGCUCUCUCCGUUUCUGUGGAUCUGCUUGCCGUUCCCUUCUCAACGGUUCUCUUGCUCUCUCCGCUCAGCGCGCUCUCUCCGCUACUUUUCUCUUGCUGUCUGUUAACCGUUUCUUCUCUUAUUCGCGACAUCUAAAUCUGCGGUGUUUUUGGUCAAUGAAAAGAGACAGAGACAUUCACAGUUCGACGGCUGCAGUCGCACUUUUUUGCAGUGUCCCCACACAAAAACCAAAGCAAACGGGAUCGGUUCACCCCCCUCACACACAUAGCACAAAGAGAACCAACAAAAAAAAGUAACAGUGAAAGAGUGGGGGGAACAAAAGCUUUUAAUUGAGUUUUUGCGCGCAAUCAAAUAAUAAAAUCAAAGCUCAUCAUUAGAAUUGAAACAAACGGUGAAAAACGGAAGAGAGGAAAUGAGAAAUUAGUGCAAAAAAUCAAUCGAUGCGAAACGAGAGCUGGAAUAAAGCCAAUUAAAUUAUUAAUUGUAUUAAUACAAAAACGCAGAGGGGAG
rnacentral:lncRNA from 1 species